UCGAUCUGGUAGUUCUAUAUGUAUUGAAAUAACCGGUUUUACGGUAAAAUACGCGGUCAACACAGGGGUGUACCUACGUAGACGGAUAAGGUUGACUUGACUUUAUAGUAGAGGCGCCUUCCCUAGAAUCUGAAGUAUUGUGUCAGGCGCCACCACAAAGUCAACCAUUAUUUUAUCGCCAAAACAUGGAAUGGAAUAUGACAUUAAAUGUUUGAAAAAUCAAUCAGUUCUUUGUUCAGUUUAGAAAAUAUUGAUGAUUACUCUUUAAAAAUGGAUAAACCGAAAAUAACACGGAAUAAACGAUGUCAAUAUUGCGUCGGCGAGCCGCUUUUCAAAACGGUUAGUGCCCUAGACCAUCAUCUGAGGACCUGUCAUUACCAGGAUGGUAUCCGAUGUGUGUAUUGCCAUAUAGUUUUCAACCAGAACACUAGUUAUUCUACAAUACGAAAGCACUAUCAACGGAACCAUAAAGGCGAGGCAUCUUAUUUAAUAUGUCUCAGGCAACACAAAUCGACGAAAGACGGAACGAGGUAAUGAAAUGUCUCCGGACAAGCUGAAUACGAGUUCAUGGAUAUUUCAAUUUGGAAGCAUCAAGUACCUACACAUCAACGAUAACAUCAAAACGAACAUGUAGGUAAACGUUAGGUAUUCAUGAACAUACUCAGCAUUUUGAAGCUUUAACUACCGUACAUAUAAGUAUCAUAUUAAGUAAUAAUAGUACCUAGAUAAGUAUUUUUAACCGUACAAAAAUGGUUCUUUUUAAUAAAAAUUGUUCUGCGUUUCACAA